UACAGAGGGUGCAAGCGUUAAUCGGAAUUACUGGGGGUAAAGCGCGCGUAGGUGGUUUGUUAAGUUGGAUGUGAAAUCCCCGGGCUCAACCUGGGAACUGCAUUCAAAACUGACAAGCUAGAGUAUGGUAGAGGGUGGUGGAAUUUCCUGUGUAGCGGUGAAAUGCGUAGAUAUAGGAAGGAACACCAGUGGUGAUGACGCGCCCCUGGCCGAAAUCUACACUGAGGUGCGAAAGCGUGGGGAGCAAACAGG
rnacentral:rRNA from 1 species